UUAUAGAGAAGAUAAGAAGGAUGGGAAGGAGUAACAAAAGUGAAAACAAAAAUUAAAACAUGAAAUCUAUUUGAAAUUGUUUUUACUUUUGUUACUCCUCCCUCCCGUCCUUCCUUCUCAUCCUCUCUCU
rnacentral:miRNA from 1 species